GUAGUCUCGCACAGAUGCAUAUCAAUAAGCGGAGGAAAAGAAACUAACUAGGAUUCCCUCAGUAACGGCGAGCGAAGCGGGAAGAGCUCAAAUUUGAAAUCUUAAAGGGUUUCCCUUUACGAAUUGUAGUUUAAAGAAGUGUUUUCUGUUGAGGUUUUGGUAAAAGUUCUUUGGAAUAGGACAUCAUAGAGGGUGAGAAUCCCGUAUUUGACCUUUACUUUCAACUUUGUGAUACACUUUCAAAGAGUCGGAUUGUUUGGGAAUGCAGGUCCAAAAUGGGUGGUAAAUUUCAUCUAAAGCUAAAUAUUGGCGAGAGACCGAUAGCGAACAAGUACCGUGAGGGAAAGAUGAAAAGAACUUUGAAAAGAGAGUUAAACAGUACGUGAAAUUGUCAAAAGGGAAGCGUUUGACACCAGUGUUGUUUUUCUGAAAAUCAAUUAAAGAACUGUUUAUGCUAAGUUGUUUAGACUUUAUCAGCUAACUGUUUAGUUUUGAGCUUUUCUUUAAUGCACUUUUCAGUUAACAAGUCAACAUCAAUUUCUUUUGCUGUAAAAAAGCUUGAGGAAGGUGGCUUGAGAUUCGUCUUAAGUGUUUAUAGCCUCUUGCCUAUGCAGUCGGAGAGAUUGAGGUCUGCAGCGUAGAUCCUUCGGGGCUAAAUGCAUUUGUGCUAAGUUAUAGCAUUUUAUAGACAACUUGUUGACUAUGAUUUGUCUUGUAGCUUACUCGCUUAUGUUAUUUUACCUACGCUUAGGAUGUUGACAGCAGUAUAGACUGU
rnacentral:rRNA from 1 species